AGCAGUAGGGAAUCUUCCACAAUGGGCGAAAGCCUGAUGGAGCAAUGCCGCGUGAGUGAAGAAGGUUUUCGGAUCGUAAAACUCUGUUGUUGAAGAAGAACAUGCGUGAGAGUAACUGUUCACGUACUGACGGUAUUCAACCAGAAAGCCACGGCUAACUACGUGCCAGCAGCCGCGGUAAUACGUAGGUGGCAAGCGUUGUCCGGAUUUAUUGGGCGUAAAGAGAAUGUAGGCGGUUUAUUAAGUUUGAAGUGAAAGCCCUCGGCUCAACCGAGGAAGUGCUUCGAAAACUGGUAAACUUGAGUGCAGAAGAGGAAAGUGGAACUCCAUGUGUAGCGGUGGAAUGCGUAGAUAUAUGGAAGAACACCAGUGGCGAAGGCGGCUUUCUGGUCUGUAACUGACGCUGAGAUUCGAAAGCAUGGGUAGCAAACAGGAUUAGAUACCCUGGUAGUCCAUGCCGUAAACGAUGAGUGCUAAGUGUUGGAGGGUUUCCGCCCUUCAGUGCUGCAGCUAACGCAUUAAGCACUCCGCCUGGGGAGUACGACCGCAAGGUUGAAACUCAAAGGAAUUGACGGGGGCCCGCACAAGCGGUGGAGCAUGUGGUUUAAUUCGAAGCAACGCGAAGAACCUUACCAGGUCUUGACAUACCAUGAAAAGCUAAGAGAUUAGUCUUUCCCUUCGGGGACAUGGAUACAGGUGGUGCAUGGUUGUCGUCAGCUCGUGUCGUGAGAUGUUGGGUUAAGUCCCGCAACGAGCGCAACCCUUAUUAUCAGUUGCCAGCAUUCAGUUGGGCACUCUGGUGAGACUGCCGGUGACAAACCGGAGGAAGGUGGGGACGACGUCAAAUCAUCAUGCCCCUUAUGACCUGGGCUACACACGUGCUACAAUGGUCGGUACAACGUGUUGCGAACUCGCGAGGGCAAGCAAAUCACUUAAAACCGAUCUCAGUUCGGAUUGCAGGCUGCAACUCGCCUGCAUGAAGCUGGAAUCGCUAGUAAUCGCGGAUCAGCAUGCCGCGGUGAAUACGUUCCCGGGCCUUGUACACACCGCCCGUCACACCAUGAGAGUUUGUAACACCCAAAGUCGGUGGGGUAACCCUUCGGGGAACUAGCCGCCUAA
rnacentral:rRNA from 2 species